rnacentral:rRNA from 1 species
AGUGAACGCUGGCGGUAGGCCUAACACAUGCAAGUCGAACGGCAGCACAGUAAGAGCUUGCUCUUACGGGUGGCGAGUGGCGGACGGGUGAGGAAUACAUCGGAAUCUACUUUUUCGUGGGGGAUAACGUAGGGAAACUUACGCUAAUACCGCAUACGACCUACGGGUGAAAGCAGGGGAUCUUCGGACCUUGCGCGAUCGAAUGAGCCGAUGUCGGAUUAGCUAGUUGGCGGGGUAAAGGCCCACCAAGGCGACGAUCCGUAGCUGGUCUGAGAGGAUGAUCAGCCACACUGGAACUGAGACACGGUCCAGACUCCUACGGGAGGCAGCAGUGUGGAAUAUUGGACAAUGGGCGCAAGCCUGAUCCAGCCAUACCGCGUGGGUGAAGAAGGCCUUCGGGUUGUAAAGCCCUUUUGUUGGGAAAGAAAAGCAGCAGGUUAAUACCCCGCUGUUCUGACGGUACCCAAAGAAUAAGCACCGGCUAACUUCGUG